CCUACGGGGGGCAGCAGUGGGGAAUAUUGCACAAUGGGGGAAACCCUGAUGCAGCGACGCCGCGUGAGUGAAGAAGUAUUUCGGUACGUAAAGCUCUAUCAGCAGGGAAGAAAAUGACGGUACCUGACUAAGAAGCCCCGGCUAACUACGUGCCAGCAGCCGCGGUAAUACGUAGGGGGCAAGCGUUAUCCGGAUUUACUGGGUGGAAAGGGGGCGUAGACGGCAGUGCAAGUCUGGAGUGAAAUCCCAUGGCUUAACCCUGGAACUGCUUUGGAAACUGGGCAGCUAGAGUGCAGGAGAGGUAAGCGGAAUUCCUGGUGUAGCGGUGAAAUGCGUAGAUAUUAGGAGGAACACCAGUGGCGAAGGCGGCUUACUGGACUGUAACUGACGUUGAGGCUCGAAAGCGUGGGGAGCAAACAGGAUUUGAUACCCGAGUAGUC
rnacentral:rRNA from 1 species